GAUGAACGCUGGCGGCGUGCCUAAUACAUGCAAGUCGAGCGAACAGACGCGUUGCUUUUUCCUCUGUCUUUAGCGGUGGCCGGGUGGGUAAUACGUGGAUAACAUCCUUAUACCUCCUUGUUAAUUUCCGCAUACCGGUGCGACUACCGCGUAAUAUAUUGAACCUCUUGCAUCAUUAGUGUAGGACGGUUUUUCUUUCACUUUUAGAUGGACUCGCGCCGCAUUAGCUUGUUGGUAGGGUAACGGCUUACCAAGGCGACGAUGCGUAGCCGACCUGAGAGGGGGAUCUGCCACAAUGGAGCUAAGACGAGGUCCAGAAGACUACGAGAGGCAGCAGUAGGGAAGAUUACGCAAUAGGCGGCAGAAUGACGAAGCAACGACGCGGGGGUGAGGAAGGUCUUCGGAGCGUAAAGAUCUGUUAUUAGGGAAGAACAAAUGUGUAAGUGACUAUGCACGGCUUGACGGUACCUAAUCAGAAAGCCACGGCUAACUACGUG
rnacentral:rRNA from 1 species